UUCCGGUUUACUAAGUGUAAAGGCAGCGCUAGUGCGAAUGCUGCGUUUCUUUAAUCCGUGUCUUUGUUUAUGUAGAAAAGGAUAAUUUUGUAGGCAUUAAUUGUUGUUUAAAAUAUUUAUUUUUUAAAUUCUUUUUCACAACCAAAAACGUGCAUAUUUCUGACCAGCCAAACUCCUUUGAACCACAAGAUGGCGCUGCUUCAUCGUGUUCUCAGCUUUCAUAAUUGGGCUGUUAUUGAGGUGAAAACGAUGCUUUUGUUUCUGAAAACAAUGGACACCUUUGAGGUUUCUCCAGCACUGUGUCCUGUCCUUGCUUUGGUUCUCCACAGUGAGGUGACCUGAUUUCCAGGCACUGAUGGAAAGGACUUUCUCAGCGGAGGUUAUGGCAGCCCAUCGGAGUCACUUUUUACCUGCUUCAUUUAUAAGCACCAUCACACCGAAUGUCCCUUUCCUCUUUUAACAUCAGUUCAGAGUUUAAAGGAAGUCUUCUGGGACUGAAUGAUGUGUGCUUAUACUGUACAUACAUUUUGCAGGAUCUGUAAGCUGAAAAAGCAAGCAUGAUCAAAUAUUAAACAUAAGAUUCUCACGAAGGUGCAUAACAAAUAUUUACAGGUGAUAGCUGCGUGUCAACAUCAUCAUGGGAAAAACGUGGGAAAACAUGUGAUAAAGAUCACAUUCUUCAAGAGGACAGGCCUGACAUCUGUUGACAUCUGGCUUGUGUGUCACAUUGACAUCUUUGUUGCGGUCUCAAGCCAACCUGACAGAUGUGUCCUACCAAAGGGAACUGUUCAGACACACACGUCCUAACAGUUUCUGGCCAGCAGACCUGUGGAGCAAUACUAAAAUCUCUCUGUCUUUCUCCAUAAGCCAUCGGCACAAUGCAGGGGUCUUUUCUCCAGGCCCGGUGUGAAGAACCGAUCAAGAUCAACGAUUGGGGUUUUCCUCUAAUCAUUGCUCUGCUGCUGGGACUCCUAUUUGGCUUUCUCAACUUUCCUGCUCUCACACAAGAGCCCUACUGGAGCAACCCAUCACCAAUAAGAGCGACAACUCGGAUUUCCUUUCAAAAGAGGACUGAGUUUACCAACAGGCUGGGGCAGACAUUUGUAUUUGGACAGAUGCAGCGGUCAUGAGGUCAUCUAUUAUAUCAUCAGCAUAUGAACAUAAAGGUUUUGAACAUGAAGUGACUCAGUGUUCCAGUUUCACAAGAUCCUUACAGCUUGAGCUACAUCACAGGAUGGAGCGAAAGAGUGAUCGGAGCAGAUGUUGAACUGCAGGAGAGAACAGAUUAUAUGAUGGGAGUACCCAGCUCUACCAGGGACCUGACUGACCCCUCCUUACCCCCCCAAGAGCCAAGAUGGAAAGAGAAGGUCUGGCUAUUUUUGUGACAUCUAUCCAUGAAUUGUUAAUGGCUUUGAAUUGGCUGACUGGGCUUUUCUGAGCCUGAGCUGGUUAAUUAGGCCUAAGGGGCGAAGCAAGAGAGAAAAAUACUGAGAAAGAGACAAAAGUGAUAUCAUCGAUGUGGACUGAAUUCACAGUGAAUGAAGAUGUCACCAGGUUGGAUGGAGAACGUGAUCUCUUUCAUUGGAAGAGGUGUUUUUAGGGGUUUUUGGUAUCAUCAAAAAGGCCUCUAGCACUAAAUAUUUUAUUUCAAACGUCAUUGCAGGCGCAUGCACUGUGUGCACAGUAUUUGGUGUGAUUAAUAAUCCAUAACUGUACUUACACUCUAUUUCUAACACAACUAAAAUGAAUUUUGAUCAUUUUAAAGAAUUUUUUUAGGAACAACAUCAACACGGAAUUACAUUUAAAGGUCCCGUUCUUUUGGUGUUUUUGAAGCUUUGAUUGUGUUUACAGUGCGCAAUAUAACUUGUGUUCAUGUUUCAUGUGUAAAAAAUUUGUUUUUUUUUUACACAAUUGACUUAUCUGAUGGGCUGAUGUCUUCCUUGUUCUAUGAAGUCCCUCCUUCAGAAAUACGUAUAGAGUUCUGAAUGUGUAGCCUGUUUAGUGUGUUGUGAUUUGAUAGCAGCUUAGCUUGCCGUAUUCCUGUGGGCGGAGUUUAGUCAAAAACUGUUCUAGUGACGUCAUUAAAGCAGGAAGUAGAGGGCUGUAGUCCAAACCAGUCGUUCGCUGUAGGCUUUGAAAGGCGAAUUCUGUUAAAGAAAAUAUAUCACCUGGCUGUGAACUUUGAGCUUUAUCAUUUUACAGGUAUUAUUUAUGCUAUUAUAGCAACAUUACACACUAACUAGGAUUAAAAAAUGGGAUCAGGAAGAACGUGACCUUUAAGCAACUUGUAUCUUUUGCUUGUAUCUAAAGUCUUACCUCAUCUCAGUCCUGAGUGUCACUUCUCCUUAUCUCACACAGAAGCAGUAUGAGUGAGUCAGUAGUUUUACUCAGUAUCAU